rnacentral:lncRNA from 1 species
CACCUGCCCGCUGGGGGACGUGUCCUCACCAGCUCUGAUACCACGGCUCGUGCGUCGGGCAGCGGGCCGGCCUGGGUGAGAUCAGCGUGAGAGGGAAGCCAGUGUUCUCGGCGCCCGAGUCCCCAGCUGUUGUAUCAGUGUGGUCACAGAAGGAUGCAUGGGAACGGGCGGUGGUCCUUCUGCUCAAUUUAACUGGCUUUACGGCUCUGAUUUUAUAAGGGGUUGAUGCUGGAAAGGCAAGGACUCAAGCGUAUCUUUAAAUCUAGAACUGAAAAAAAAAAUAAUAAAUCUAGAACUGAACCCUAGAUUAAAAAUUAAUGUAUGAUCAGUAUCAAAAUACUCAACAGAGACAACUUCAGAUGAGAAAAGAAAAAUCACUCAGAUCUUACUAUCUGUUAAUAAUCAUAAUUAGCAUCUUGGUUAAAAAACCCUUCCAGAUUAAUUUUUGGCCAUGAAAAUAUACAGAGGUGCCGUCAAGGAAACCACAACUUAUUUUUUACCAGCUUGAACAUCUGGAAGCUCACGGUUCACGUAUUGCUGAAGUGGUGCGUGGCGCAGGAGUGGCUGAGAGGAGGACCCCACGUCCCAGGUCAGGAGUGGCGGCCAAGAGGAACACACUGGUCAUAACAAACACCCUCUUCCAACAACACAAGAGAAGACUCUACACGUGGACAUCACCAGAUGGUCAACACCAAAAUCAGACUGAUUAUAUUCUUUGCAGCCAAAGAUGGAGAUUAUGUCACAGUAUGACUUUAUAAGGCAUCCAGGUUGUAAAACGGUCAGAGGAAACGCAAGCUCACCUGCAUGUGCUCUGCUCGGUGACAGCAGACCUCAGCACUCGGGAGUCAGGCGCCUGUGAUUUUAACUGAGUGGAACUGUUUCGUGCAGAGUUCAGUUACUUCUGUCAUUUCUCACGUCCGUAUCCUUUUGGAGUCCUCUCUGGGUCCUCCUACGACAAUAUUAUUAAAAACACGAUGUGUAUAAUUUCAUAACGCUCUCCAUGCUACUUAAUAAUAAUUAGCACAUAUUUUGGCAUAUGUGCUUUUCUGUUCAUUGUUUUAUAUCAAUUCAUAUUAUGUUUCCCUGUAUCUUGAUUUUUAAAAAU